rnacentral:piRNA from 1 species
UGCUGAGGAUUUGGGCACCUCCGGGGU